GAUGGGGCUGUGCAGUAAGAUCUGGGGGGCGGGGACAGAGGGGCGGCUGUGACCCCAUUCCCGAGGUAACUCAGAUGACUCAGAUGGGCAGUAUGAGAGUAGAGAGGAUGUGAGUAUCUGCUCCCAGCCUGAAGCUCUUCCUUUUCUCCGUUUGAUAUUUACAGGCUGCCAAGAUCUAGUUUGGAUUGGAGUGAAAAACUAGCCCCCAGCAAGGGAGGAUGGACCAUUUCAGUCAGCCAGGCCCAGUUCACACAGUGUCUCACACUUAACCUAUGAAUAAGCCAGCAACUCUGGGCCAACAUCCCCAUGGUUCAAUGCAGGAACUGAGCAAAGACUAGAACAAGACUCUCAGCUUCCGGAGUGCGUCACACCCCAGGUUCCUGUCCAGCUGGACCAAGCACCCCAUUUGAAGAAGCUUUUGAAAUUUGGAAAAACAUGGCUCUGUCCUUAGAGGAGAGCUUGACUUUCUAGAACUCCAUUAGCUCAUGGAGAGCCCUUCAUUUUAACACAGAGAAAAUGAGAAAGAAAACGCACAUAACCAAGUCCAUAGUUUGGACCAAUCAAGGCCCAUCCAUUGGGACUGAGCUUGCAGGAUCUCCGUUCCCCAAGCAGGGAUCAAACUUGCACCCCUUACAGUGAAAAGGCAGCAUCUUAACCACUGGACCGCCAGGGAAGGCCCCAUGAGUUAUCUUGAGGUCUUUUAAGUAUCUCAAAGCACAGGAGAAACCCAAGGCCAUACCUUGUUCUGCAUCAGGGAACUGAAGUCUGUAUUUGACGUGCUGGAAGAGAACAAAGGAGGUGGGAAAAACAGCAGUGGCCCAGACUGGCUGAGGAGGAGGGCAGUUGUGGCUUUAAUCCUAGAAGUCUGAGGAGAACAGAAAUCUGGAUAUUGAUCUUGGUUCAGUGCUUUUCUCACUAAGAACAUCAUCAAGGGCAUCGUCAGGGAGAAAGGCAGAGAUGGACCAACCAAUCAUUCAUGAAGAUGAGCUGGGCACUCUGAUGGGCACUUUCUCACUCAGAAAGCUUUUAACAUCCUCAUAACUCCCCAUGAGGCAUGCAUACAGACCUGGAGCUACCUAUUCUCUUUCCACAAAGGAAGGGGGACAAUCGGAGAGACUGCCUAGUACUUUAGGUCCCAGGUGAGUUUUAUGUGGGUCCCAGGAUACUGAUGUUAGACCCAUUUCAGGAAUAAAAGCACUGCUGAGCGUUUGGGGGAUCGUAUCCUUUUUGGAGAGUUUGGAGAGUUUUUAUGACUACUAAAUGCCAACCAACAAGCUAAUGUACUAGCCACCUCUAAACCAAAAUGUUGCAAACCAAAAAAAGCUAAACAAACACUGGCCAGUUGAGUCCAUCUGGUAGAAGGACAUGUUAAUUUGUAGUCAUGUACAGUGAUUAAUUAGUUGCUCUGUUGUGUCUGACUCUUUGUGACCCCAUGUACUGAAGCCCACCAGGCUCCUCUGUCCAUGGAAUUUUUCAGGCAAGAAUACUAGAGUGGGUUGCCAUUCCCUUCUCCAGGGGAUCUUCCUGACCCAGGGAUUGAAUCUAGGUCCCUGCAGGAUCUGACUAACUGCAAUUAGAGGGGAGCCUAAUUUUAUCUUUAGACUUUCACAAAAAGUUCUGUU